AUGCCUAAGAUAAAGAUAGGCCGUGUCGAAUAUACUGAAGGGUGGGUGCUUAUUGAACCCACAAUCUGUGAGCUGGAUGCCAAAAUUAGAGAAGCUGAAAAUGAUACACAUGACAGGAAGAGAAAGUGCAAAGCACUCUACCCAAUUUCCCGCAUUUCAAGAAGCCAUUACAUUUAUGAUCUUUUCCAUAGAAGGAAGGAUAUGUCAAAUGAUCUGUAUGAGUUUUGCCUGGACCAGGGUUAUGCAGACUGUAAUCUGAUUGUAAAGUGGAAAAGGUCAGUUGCCUCAACUUUAUAUCAUUUGAGCUAG
rnacentral:rRNA from 1 species